GCCGCCGCCGCGACGUCGCACGCUGGAGCGUCGCGCGCUCCGGCCGCGGCCGAAGCAGGUCUGCGCAGUCGCGACCCCCGCACCGGUCAUGACUGACCAAAGCCUCAAAUCAAAUCACAGCCGGGCGAAGCCACUGAUUGAGGCCCCACCAGCUGCGAAGAAAGUGGAACCCUAUUGAGUGCGCUGACCCGUGUCCCGUCUCCACCGUAGUCAGCGAGGUUCCAGCGAUACAGUUGCACCACGGUGGAAAUUCAAUCAGGAGAUGGGCCAGAAUGAGGAGCAGCCUCUGACUCCCGCUCACCUGCGACUGUAACAGCAGCAACAUGUGGACUUAGGACGCGGCGGAGUCUAAAGGUGGAUUAGAGAGGAUCCCCAGCUUCAUACUCGGCUGCUCUGCCACGGAUCACAGAGGAGCAGCUCCGGGCCGAAUAAAAGCAGGAUCAUCAUGAAAUGAACAUGAGGCCUCACAGCGAAUUCACAUACAGACACCGAUGUUCAGAUUCCUCUUACUGGAUAAUACUUUGGUAAUUUUGUAGGAAAAUAAAUGAAUUAACCAAACUACUUUGG